rnacentral:tmRNA from 1 species
GGGGGCGAUUUGGGUUCGACCGGGCAGUGUGACGGUGGAGCCGCGUGCCGAGGAUGUCAGUUGGCCUCGUUAAUCAUCUGGCGACAAUUUUAUAUGCCGAUUACCCAUUGGCUAUGGCUGCCUAAAUAAGGCAACCCGUCCGACCUGAGACGCCUGCUAUCGGGACCCGGACGACACCCAGCAGGCUGGCAGCGUGUGAUGCUCGGCGGCACGUUGUGAGGAGUUAGUUGAGCUGGAAACCGCCGGAGCCUGUUCGUUGGCGGCGGCGGUUUCGAGAUUAAACAACGAACUACGCACGUAGAAACUCUGCCCGACAUGUCACGGGACGCGGGUUCGAUUCCCGCCGCCUCCAUCC